rnacentral:rRNA from 1 species
UGGUUAAAAGCUCGUAGUUGGAUCUCAACAGCCUUGAAGCGGUUAACUUUGUAGUUUUACUGCUUUAUAGGCUGUGCUUUUGCUGGAGGUUUAGGGGUGCUCUUGAUCGAGUGUCUCUGGAUGCCAGCAGGUUUACUUUGAAAAAAUUAGAGUGCUCAAAGCAGGCUAAAAUGCCUGAAUAUUCGUGCAUGGAAUAAUAGAAUAGGAUGUCGAUCCUAUUUUGUUGGUUUUCGGGACUCGACAUAAUGAUAAAUAGGGACAGUCGGGGGCAUUUGUAUUCAAACGACAGAGGUGAAAUUCUUGGACCGUUUGAAGACAAACUACUGCGAAAGCAUUUGCCAAGAAUGUUUUCAUUAAUCAAGAACGAAAGUUAGAGGUUCGAAGGCGAUUAGAUACCGCCCUAGUUCUAACCAUAAACGAUGCCAGCUAGCGAUCUGCCUGCGUUUUUACUGUAGACUGGGCAGGAAGCUUCCGGGAAACCAAAGCAUUUGGGUUCCAGGGGAAGUAUGGUUGCAAAGCUGAAACUUAAAGGAAUUGACGGAAGGGCACCACCAGGAGUGGAGCCUGUGGCUUAAUUUGACUCAACACGGGAAAUCUCACCAGGCCCGGACACUGGAAGGAUUGACAGAUUGAUAGCUCUU